GGGGGUGAAGCUCUCAAUGGUGAGAGCGCCGGGCUUGUAACCCGGAGGGGCGAUCAGGAUCGCAACCUGAUUUUUCCGUUCAAUUCGGGCCACCCCUU
rnacentral:tRNA from 1 species